GUUUAGUACUAGUUACUCCCUUAUUUGCAUCUUGAUAUCAUUUAACACAUUUGAUGAGAGAGAUUUUCGCUCAAACAUUUCUUGUCUUUUGAACAUGUUGCAUUUGUUCUAACUUGUGCCAGAGUAAGGGCCUCCAUUUGUGUUCUACCAGCACUGGUAGGUAGGAUUUGUGACAGGCGGUGGGAAGCCCUAUGUGCGUGCCUGUGAUAUUAUGGGACACCAGGCAGCCAACGCACGACAGAAGGACAAGACCUUGAAAUUGGAGAUGAACCUACUGGAUCCAAGACUGAUGGAGAUAUGCAUUUGUCUGGUAAUAUUACAUAAUAGGUGCAAUUAAAAUAUAAAGCUGGUUUUUAAUAUCCCAUAUUAAAAUCAUUGGAUUGACUGAGAUCGUCAGAUGGGGCGGGGGUGGGGCCAAACACCAGCCUGGCCAAUCAACAUCUCCUCAUAGAGAUGCAUCGAAUCAAUGUGUCCCCAUGCAGAGCCGGAAAGUACAUCUAGAAGCCAUCUGAGGAGUGGCCACUGGAGAUGUCCCAAGGCUUUAAAGGGACACUAUAGUCACCAAAACAACUUUAGCUUAAGGAAGCAGUUUUACUGUAUAGAUCAUAAUCCUGCAGUCUCACUGCUCAAAUAUUUGCAAUUUAGGAGUUAAAUCCUCUUUAUUUCUGUCUAUGCAGCCCUAGUCACACCUACCCUGGCUGUGACUAACAUAUCAUCAACAGUGCAGGGGAUAAUACAUUUUAAAUUAAAUAGAAUUUGCAAUGAAGGAAAUGGGAAUUGCCCGCACUGCUGACUCUAUACAGGAAGUGUUUGGGAAGGAUGUGCAAGUCACAUGCAGGGAGGUGUUACUAGGGUGCAUAAAUAAAGGGAUUUAACUCCUAAAUGGCAGAGAAUUUAGUAGUGACACUGCAGGGAAAUUAUCUAUACACCAAAACUGCUUCAAUAAGCUAAAAUUGUUUUGGUGACUAUAGUGUCCCUUUAAUGUAAACACUGCAGUGUUAACAGCAAAAAAAACCUACAGGGGCUGAAUAUACACACGAUAACUACAAUAAGCGGUGGUUGCUCUGGUGACUAUAGUGUUCCUUUAACAUUACUGAAGCCAAGAUAUUCAUUGGAGUGACAAUUUUGGACUAUAAUUUGAAUUCCCAACUUACUUUAGUUUAUCUUACUUUACUGAAUUUAGUGUAAAUAUU